rnacentral:rRNA from 1 species
CCUUUUGCAUCAUGGUUUAACUAGUUUAACCAAGCAAAACGAACUUUAAGUUUGACCCCCCGAAACUAAGCGAGCUACUUCAGAACAGCCUUACGGGCCAACCCAUCUCUGUUGCAAAAGAGCGGGAAGAUUCUUAAGUAGAGGUGACACACCUACCGAGCUUGGAGAUAGCUGGUUAUUCAAAAAAAGGAUAUAGUCCAACUUUAAACCUCAAUAUAGCCCAAAAUAUACACACAGGUUUAAAUUUUAUUCAAAUAGGGUACAGCCUACUUGAAACAGGAUACAACCUAUAAUGCAGGGUAAUGCUUCACUAUGUAAUUAAGUAGGCCUAAAAGCAGCCAUCUUACAAAAAGCGUUACAGCUUCACUACACAUAUCACUAAUCCUAAUUAAAACCCAAAACCCUCCCCCCAUAUUGAAUGACUCCAUAUUUGUAUGGAAAACCCUAUGUUAAAACUAGUAACAAGAAUGUAUUCUCCACAAAGCACGUGUAAGCCGAAAUGAACCACCCACCGGCAUUUAUCGCCAAUGAAUAGACAAUAGCAACACCACAAGAAAACCCUAUUCCCCAUCAGCGUCAACCUUACACUAGAGCUUCCCUGGAAAGAUUAAAAAAUAGAGGAAGGAACUCGGCAAAUAGCAACCCCGCCUG